rnacentral:tRNA from 1 species
GCUAGAGUAGCUCUAAUGGGUAGAGCAGUUGAUUUGUAAUCAAGAGGUUGCAGGUUCGAACCCUGUCUCUAGCA